AUAGAUCCAUCUCUACUCAUACUCAGCACCCAAACGAUAUCCUUUGCUUUACCUAACCCGUAUUCUUUGCCGUACCCGUACCUAUCCUUCACCAGACCCAUGUUCUCCACUCAUAUUCCAUUCCAAAACCUUCACUUCCUUUACUUCAUUGCUUGAUUCCGCCACGUCCAGAGAAGCGGAGACGGAACACAACCGUAUCGCCACCGAAUAAUGUGACGUGAAACAUAGAUGCAAUGUGAUUAAAGAAUACACUUCUCAAUGGAAAUAAAAUAUCUUUAUCAAUAAAAUCGUUUUGUUUUCCCGUCACUUCCUUGUGGUUUUCAGAUGUUUAGGUUUGAGUGCAAAUGUACUGCAUGAAAAUGAUAUCUUAGAUAUUCAUACACAUAGACUCACGCGUAUUCCCCGCCGGGGUAAGCGGAGUCUAUGGAAUUCCGUUUGCUUCGAUCCUGCCAUACUUAUCUUGCUUCUUCCACAUUUAUCAAUCGUUUCAUACACGCACGCCGGAUCAGAGUAGAUCUUCCUGAACCUUUUGUAAUGACAUAUCCAAUUUGGUCAAUAUACGUCCUUCUAGGUCUUUCUCUACCAGCACCACCAACCUUCGCUUUAUAUACUGCCUUCGUAAUCCUAUUAUCCUUCAUCCGCUCUAUUUGUCCAAACCAACUUAACAUUCCCUUCUCAAAAGAUUGAGCCUAAGAAGACUAAAAAGAAGUGACUAAGAAGUAACUGUAUCGUCUUUUACACAACAUCUCUCUCUUCACACUGUGUCUCACUCUGUCACUCAAUUUAACACGACGCGACGCAACAGCAACGACCUCAUUUCUACGGCAUUAAUCCUACUUUCAUGCUUCUUCUGCCUACCAUACAUCAGCGUAGAGACAAGUACUGCAUUGUGAAUCGCAUCGUGCGAGAUACAUUGGCUACUAACAACUGCAUGCAUUCACCGAAUUACCCAAUUUUACUUUUCUUUCCAUAUCAUCAUCACAUUUACCAUCCCUUUUAACAUAGUACCCAAAUACACAAAUUCAUUCACUUGUUCAACAAUAUCUUCGUGUUACCUACAAAAAUAAAUUUUGUACUCACAGCAAUAUGCAUUUCUAACCAAUAUUCCUUUUGCUAAGAAAUAUAAUAAAAAGGUACCAAAAUAAACCUAUUUUACUUAAUGCCGCCAGCGUAAUGAACACUUUCCCACCGGGGUAAGCAGAGACUAUGGAAUUCCAGUUGCUUCGAUCCUGAUACACUUCUCUUGCUUCCUCCUGUAUACGAGUAUGUGUGUCGUAGGUUUUACCUAAAUAAACUUUUUAUUAUUAUUAUUAAGAUCGAUAAUGAUAUGUACUCGUAUUUUGAAAUGUUGACAUGUAUUACAAUGUAUUUAUUAUUAAGCUUUAUUAAAUUAUAUAAAUUAAUGAGUUAAUUGUUUUUUACCGUUAAAAAUAGUUAUUUAUUUGAUUAUUUUACUUAAACAAUUAAAAAUUUUAUCUUCGAACCACCUGUGUAAAAGAUUUUUUUUUACGUAGCUUUAAAACAACAAUUUCACUUCACUUCUAAACUCCAAAAGUCCGACUUGAAAACAAACGAAACCACGUGUUUUAAUAAGUGUGAAAUGCAAAAUACACGCUUAAGUACCUAGGUGCAUAAAAUCUUUGGACUUAUUAUACAGAAAUACUUUUCGAAGCGAAGCGAAAGCGAAGGUUGGUGGUAGGGCUGGCAGAGAAGACCUAGAAGGACAUACAUUGACCAAAAUGGAGAUGCCCUAACAAAAGGUUCAGGACGAUCUACUCUGAACCGGCGUGCAUGAAACUAUUUAAAUAUGGAGGAAGCAAGAGAAGUGUAUCACGAUCGAAGCAAAUGGAAUUCCAUAGUCUCUGCUUACCCCGGUGGGAAAGAGGCGUGAGUUUAUGUAUGUGUACGUAUGUACAUAUACAAACCACAUAAAAUCGAUUUCACGAACCCGGACAUCCAGAUUGUGAACCAAACGCUUCAACCACUAGACUACAAAAGCUGUUUGUGAAAUAAUUAUAAAUAAUAGUAUGGUAACCUAAUUUAUAGAAAAGUUAAUAAAAAUAAUAAUAAAAAUCAUUAUUAUUAAUAAGGCCGUCCAUAAAUUUUACUGUACCUAAUCUAUUCUUCGAACGUGGAAAAUAUUUCUUUUCUGUGUGUGAGUGUAAUAAAUAAUAAUAAUAUUGUAUUGUAUUGGAUUUUUGAAGGUUGCCAAUAUAGUAUAAAUACAGUAGCAAAACGAAACUUAUCACAGUUCUUUGGAAGCAGCUGCUGGAAAAAUGCGUCUUUUAAUAACAUUAUCUAUAUUUGCAUUUUUAUUUGGGAUGUGCGUAGCACAACGUAUAACAUGCGGCUGCCCGCCCAUCGACGAUCCGGUAUGCGGUACAAAUGGGAAGACGUACGAUAAUGAUUGCUUGUUGGGAUGUGACCGUUCCAGUCCUUGGAAGGUCGAAAUACAACAUAGAGGAAAAUGCUACUGAUCCCCCAAACGAUACUCCAAACUUACCCGGUAAAGCAAACUUUACCCAACCCAUAUUUUUGCACCACCCAUAUCUUUUUACCCAACCCAUAUUUUUGCACCACCCAUAGGUAUCUUUUCACCCAACCCAUGUCUUUCACCCAUAUCCUACUCCUACGACCCAAUCCCGCCGCCGUACUCAUAUUCUGAGUAUCACAAAUCCGGCUUAUUUCAUUUCCCACUCCAAAACAUUAAUUGGAUCGUGUACUAGGUUCAAGAUAAAUUAUGAAACUCUGAUUACUAAAUAAAGAAAGAUCUAAAACUAAAGAAAAU